AGAGUUUGAUCAUGGCUCAGGAUGAACGCUAGCGGCAAGCUUAAUACAUGCAAGUCGAGGGGCAGCAUGAAGUAGCAAUACUUUGAUGGCGACCGGCAAACGGGUGCGGAACACGUACACAACCUUCCUUUUAGUGGGGAAUAGCCCAGAGAAAUUUGGAUUAAUACCCCGUAACAUAACGAUGUGGCAUCACAUUGUUAUUAUAGCUUCGGCGCUAGAUGAUGGGUGUGCGUAUGAUUAGAUAGUUGGCGAGGUAACGGCUCACCAAGUCUACGAUCAUUAGCUGAUGUGAGAGCAUGAUCAGCCACACGGGCACUGAGACACGGGCCCGACUCCUACGGGAGGCAGCAGUAAGGAAUAUUGGUCAAUGGACGCAAGUCUGAACCAGCUAUGCCGCGUGAAGGAUUAAGGUCCUCUGGAUUGUAAACUUCUUUUAUCUGGGACGAAAAAAGGUCUUUCUAGAUCACUUGACGGUACCAGAUGAAUAAGCACCGGCUAACUCC
rnacentral:rRNA from 1 species